rnacentral:rRNA from 1 species
GUGGGGAAUAUUGGACAAUGGGCGCAAGUCUGAUCCAGCCAUGCCGCGUGAGUGAUGAAGGCCCUAGGGUUGUAAAGCUCUUUCACCGGAGAAGAUAAUGACGGUAUCCGGAGAAGAAGCCCCGGCUAACUUCGUGCCAGCAGCCGCGGUAAUACGAAGGGGGCUAGCGUUGUUCGGAAUUACUGGGCGUAAAGCGCACGUAGGCGGACAUUUAAGUCAGGGGUGAAAUCCCGGGGCUCAACCCCGGAACUGCCUUUGAUACUGGGUGUCUGGAGUAUGGAAGAGGUAAGUGGAAUUCCGAGUGUAGAGGUGAAAUUCGUAGAUAUUCGGAGGAACACCAGUGGCGAAGGCGGCUUACUGGUCCAUUACUGACGCUGAGGUGCGAAAGCGUGGGGAGCAAACAGGAUUAGAUACCCCAGUAGUCC